rnacentral:rRNA from 1 species
GCACGCCUUUUGUCUAUUUCU